rnacentral:antisense_RNA from 1 species
AAGGAGGGGAGCCGAGGCCCGGCGUGGGGAGGCCGGCAGGAAGGGCCUCGAGCCCAGUGCGGACCUUUCUUCAGCCUCUGUGCGACCGAGCCGCGCGCCAGGCUGCUGUGCGAGGAGGACGCGCUGACUCCCUCCGACCUGGGCUCCGAUGGAGCAGAAAUAGCGGGACCUGGACUUGUGGCGCGCCUGGUGCCACAUCUCGGGCUCUGCGAGCGUCCUGGCGCGGGAUCCUGCCUGUUCCCUUCUUUUCGCCAGGUUUGCAUCCAAGAGAGGGGAGGACAGGGGCAAAAGGAUGCAGGGAGGCUGCUGAUUUCCACUGAAGAGCUAAUUUCCUGUGAGACAUUAACAGUGAUUUAAGAAAAAGAUUCCUGUAACUGUAAUGUCUUACAAUAACAGAAUGCAGGAGAGCACAUAUCAAUGAAGAAAAGACAAAAUGUACUUAUCCAUGAAGCUGAGGUUAAGAAACCAGUGUCUUCAAGAGCCAGGGACAGCACUGGGUCUGUGCAGAGUUGAGAGAUGGUGAUGACAUGUGGUUUCCAGCAUUCCUCGCCCAGUCCAGGGACACUGUGGGUGUGCCCAGCUUAAGUCCAGUCCAGUAACUGGAAAUACAAGCCCAAGUUCUGGAGAGUUUGAGCUGCAGAGAUAUAUAUGGGAACACUUUGAACCUUGACUCAUUGGCCAUAACCAGUAGAGUGGAAAAUACAAGAAGAGA